rnacentral:rRNA from 1 species
AGAUUGAACGCUGGCGGCAGGCCUAACACAUGCAAGUCGAGCGGUAGAGAGGUGCUUGCAUCUCUUGAGAGCGGCGGACGGGUGAGUAAUGCCUAGGAAUCUGCCUAGUGGUGGGGGAUAACGUUCGGAAACGGACGCUAAUACCGCAUACGUCCUACGGGAGAAAGCGGGGGACCUUCGGGCCUCGCGCCAUUAGAUGAGCCUAGGUCGGAUUAGCUAGUUGGUGAGGUAAUGGCUCACCAAGGCGACGAUCCGUAACUGGUCUGAGAGGAUGAUCAGUCACACUGGAACUGAGACACGGUCCAGACUCCUACGGGAGGCAGCAGUGGGGAAUAUUGGACAAUGGGCGAAAGCCUGAU